ACCCCUCCACCCAUCCUCCCCUCCAUCCCUCCAUCCCUCCAUCACCCCUCCAUCCCUCCAUCCCUCCACCCCUCCACCCCUCCAUCCCUCCUCCCCUCCAUCCCUCCACCCCUCCAUCCCUCCUCUUCAUCACGGCACUCCGAGGCCGGCCAGCAGACUAAACCCUGUGGUCAGUCGUCUUCUAGUACCCAGGGUUUCUAUCCAGGGUUAAAGGUUAAGGGUUAGAGGUUAAGGGUUAAAGGUUAAAAGUUAGAGGUUAAGGGUUAAAGGUUAGAGGUUAGGAGGUUAAGGGUUAAAGGUUAGAGGUUAAAAGUUAGAGGUUAAGGGUUAAGGGUUAAAGGUUAGAGGUUUCUAUCCAGAACUACAGAAUCAUUUAACGACUUUUAAAAGCCCGUUUCCUCCUUCCUCCUUUAAUCCUCCCUUCUUCCCUCCCUCCUCUUCCCUCUUUCCUAACAUCUCCCCCCCUCGCUCUGAGUUAAUGCACUUAUAUAGUUGUCCACGCCUCCCUCCUCCUCAUCCUUCUCCUUAUCCUCCUUCUCUUCCUCCUCUUCUCCUCCUCCUCCUCCUCUCCUCCUCCUCCCCCCUGCUCCUCUCUCUCGGCUUUUCUUAGUGUGCUGCUAACAGCUGGUUUUAUUCCACUUUAAACAAAAGAAGAAAAAAAGGUUAUUAAACUGUCCGUUUAUUUUCAACAAACACUGUGAUGCUUAGUUUUUGCUCCACCUCUCCACCAGGUCCUGGUUGAUGGUAGAUCAGUGUUGAGCUGCCUCCACCUCUCCACCAGGUCCUGGUUGAUGGUUGAUGGUUGAUGAUUGAUGGUAGACUCAGAGCUGCCUCCACCUCUCCACCAGGUCCUGGUUGAUGGUUGAUGGUUGAUGGUUGAUGGUAGACUCAGAGCUGCCUCCACCUCUCCACCAGGUCCAGGUUGAUGGUUGAUGGUUGAUGGUAGAUCAGUGUUGGGAGGGUGGCGGGGGGGGUUUGACCAGCGGGUCCAUUCUGCUGAGGUUUAUACAGAAGGGUCCUCCUACAAGGCUGUAUUGUGACACUGACAGAUCUAAAAACACCUGCCGUGUAAUCAUCAUUAUUUCGAUUUCAUUUUGGAACGGAGAGCCGGAGAUGUAAUCGCCGUGGUUCUUCAGUUCGGAGCUGAAACUGAUUUAAAGGUAUUAAAGAUGACAUCCAUUCCAUCUGAAUGAUAAACUGAAGGGACCUGCCUGCUCCCUCCGAUGUCCCUCAACGUCCUUAACAUCUUCAUUCUCGCUGUUAACAAAUCAAACUCUUCUUUCUGCUUUUUGACAACUGUAAAAUUGUAAAACAUUUGUAGAGCUGAACUGUAAAUCUGUCUUUUGGAGAACAGGUUUGUCGAUGUUGUUCGUUAACGCCUGAGCUUGCAGAGAACCCGAAGCCGUAACAGUCCGUUGCCGUUUUCUGCUUUGGCAUCUUUGACCAGAACAUUUUUGGUACUUUUUUUUUUCUCCUUAUGCCCCUUAAAUACUUCUACUGUGGAUUCUAUGAAAGGUUUCCACUCGCUGCUGAACGCACGCCGUCAUUUAUCACCGUGUCAAUCUAUCCGCACGCCGUCGAUCGACACUUAAACUUCCUGCUUUCUCAUUUCCAAAAUACGAACGGCCAGUUUUCCUUCCUGUGAUCGGAUCGUUCCGUCUAAAGUGUGAUUCAUGCUCGUGUUGCGUUCCACCAUCAGACGCAGCCCUUCGUUUUCUAACGAGAACUUUGAGGAUCUUUGAGAAUAUCGGUUUGCCGCGAGGAGAAAUCCGUAUAAAAGAUCUGAAUGUUUCCUCGUCACAAUUCCACGUCAGCUCGUGUCCCUGCGACCAUCCGAAGCUUUAAGGCCCAGACGCACCAACCCGACAUCAAAGAACUAGCGGCAAUGAACGCCGCCAGCUGCGUCGUCUCAUGUCACCUCUGUCUCGGCCAAAAAGUUGCACUCACACACACCGCAAAGACGACGGACAACUACCACGUACGUUCUGCGCCUGCGUUAGAGGAAAUAACUCUCCACACCAGCAGGCGGUGGUCGUCUGUGUUCGUCAUUCAGAAAGAGACAGAGGAUAUACAAGCCGUUAUGAUGCGAACAUGAAACAAAGCGGCGUCAGCCGACCGUUUUCUCACCACUCUCACUCACCACUGAGCCUCAUUACAGAUGUUCAUGUUGCUGUGAAACUAUCCGUGUGUUGGAACGAUCAGAUGAGAUGAAGAUGAAACAUGAGAAGAGUCUUCUGUGUAACCCUGAACAGCCAAUCAGAGUGAUUUCUCUCACCGACGGGCGCCACCGCUGAUUCAACACGCUGAAUCGGACGAAAAGCCUCCAACAGGGGCAGACUAUAGCCAACGGUGAGAGACACACCGCAACAACUAGACCGACAGACGCUCACCGACGGCCCGUCUUCGGCUUGGUGUGUCAGGACCUUUAUGCUUGCCACGUCUGCGGCGGGCCAAAGUGGCGUCACACCAUCAGAUGCGGCCCUUCGCGGGGGUUCUGUGACCGUCCUUUCAGAAAGUAUAACCGAAGCUUAAGAUGUCAUUGGUCACUUGCUGGUUUUUUAAAAGCAUUUUAAAGCUUCAGGACGAUUCCUUACUUCCUGUUUAGGCUGAACCAGCUGACUCGUUUAAAUGUUUAGUUAGAAGCUGAUUUUAUUUUGAAGUAUACGUGUUUGGUGCAGUUUGAGUCCACAACAGGAACGUGCGUUGAAGGAGCCAAAUCUCCCGGCAGAUCAGCCAGUCACCUGUUAGUGGAAGUGAGAACCUGUAGUUACUGUGUUCACGCUGCAGUUCAUCAACAUGCGUACGCGACGAGGCGACUUUUAGAUCAUCGUUCUGACUGCGUUUAGGAAGCGAAAACACUCGAUCGGCCGUUAACGGUACAUUUUUCCAGCUCAUUUUUUGGAUCUGAUCUUGUACAUUUGAACCUUGUGGUUCCUCUUGUUUAAAGACUGCGCCCUGCCGAUAGCGAGAUAUGUGUUCAGAUCCCACACUGAGAAACAUGGAGGGUAGCCCUAACCCAGAACGCAGACCUGCGAGUCUCUCAAAAGACCCUUGUUUUCUUCCAGAGUCGGUUUAAUUUCAUAUUUGUAUCCACUCAGUGUCACAAUAAGCUUGUCACUAACCAUCUCGACAUUCCACUCUUUAGGUGUAGAAAAGUCAUGUGUCUCAAUGUUUUGUUUUUUUCUUUUGCUGGGGACAAAUGUUUUCAUGCACUGAAGUUUAAAAGGUAAAAGAAAAAAAAUAAUUCCUCCCUGCCGCUCUUUUUCUCGUUAGCUGAACAAAAAGGCAGUUAUUCUACGCUUUAUAAGGAAAAAAGUGAUCCCAUGCAGUAGUGAAUGUGGCACCGAGCCUGUCUGUAUAUCUGGUAUCUCAAAUCAUUUUGUUUUUACUGACCAGUAUUAUGCUUAAAAUAAAAAUAAAAAAAAAAAUAACCCAAAAAACAACAAAAAAAUGUUUUGCUUCUGUGACGGUUUUAUUGCUUAGCGCGCACGUGGUUGUGAACAUUUAGACUUUAGCUUCAAGACGCCAAUAAAAAUAAAAAAAAUACAAAAAAAAGAAAAACCCUUGGACACCUUCCCCCCCACCCUGGUUAUUGAAGUAAUACUAGAUUUGUGUAUGUCUUUAAAAAUCCAACUCUAGUUUCACCUUACAUGUUAUAAACAGGACAAAAUGUAAAAGACAAUUUAAAGUGAAAUAAAGGUUUUAUCAGUUCCGAA